UACGAAGGGGGCUAGCGUUGCUCGGAUUUACUGGGCGUAAAGAGCGCGCAGGCGGCUGGUCAAGUCCGAUGUGAAAUCUCCCGGCUCAACUGGGAAACUGCAUCGGAAACUGAUCGGCUUGAAGAUGGGAGAGGGUAGUGGAAUUCCCGGUGUAGUGGUGAAAUGCGUAGAUAUCGGGAGGAACACCAGUGGCGAAGGCGACUACCUGGCCCAUUCUUGACGCUGAGGCGCGAAAGCUAGGGGAGCGAACGGG
rnacentral:rRNA from 1 species